rnacentral:rRNA from 1 species
ACGGCUCAGUAACACGUCGAUAAUCUGACCUAUGGUCUGGAAUAGCCUUGGGAAACUGAGGGUAAUACCGGAUAUGAGAAUCUGUCUGGAAUGACUUUUCUUUGAAAAGCAAUGCCAUAGGGUGAGUCGGCGGCGGAUUAGGUUGUUGGUGGGGUAAUGGCCCACCAAGCCGAAGAUCCGUAGGGGCCUUGAGAGAGGGAGCCCCGAGAAGGACACUGAAACACGGGUCCUAGCCCUACGGGGUGCAGCAGGCGCGGAACCUCUACAAUGCAGGAAACUGUGAUAGGGGAAUCCCAAGUGCUUAUGCAAUGCAUAGGCUUUUGCCAAGGGUAAACACCUUGGAGAAUAAGUGGUGGGAAAGACCGGUGCCAGCAGCCGCGGUAACCCCGGCGCCACAAGUGGCAAUCACAUUUAUUGGGCCUAAAGCGUCCGUAGCCUGUCUAGAAAAUCUUUUGUGAAAUCGUCUGGCUCAACCAAACGGCGAGCAGAAGACACUACUAGACUAGGGACCGGGAGGAGUCAGAGGUAUGCCAAGGGGAGCGGUAAAAUGCUAUAAUCCUUGGUAGACCACCUGUGGCGAAGGCGUCUGACUAGAACGGAUCUGACGGUGAGGGACGAAAGCCAGGGGAGCGAACCGGAUUAGAUACCCGAGUAGUCCUGGCUGUAAACGCUGCGAGCUAGGUGUUGCACAUUCUUCGAGAAUGUGCAGUGUCGAAGCGAAGGUGUUAAGCUCGCCGCCUGGGAAGUACGGUCGCAAGACUGAAACUUAAAGGAAUUGGCGGGGGAG